rnacentral:rRNA from 1 species
GCCGUUAAGUCUUGACGAGUAAGAGGGUCGCGACGGUGAGCGCAGAAGGGUCAGGGCGAGAGCCUGCCUGGAGCCGCCGUUGGUGCAGAUCUUGGUGGUAGUAGCAAAUACUCUAGCGAGGGCCUGGAGGACUGACGUGGAGAAGGGUUUCUUGUGAACAGCCGUUGCACAAGAGUCAGUCGACCCUGAGCCCUAGGAGAAAUCCGAUGACGAUGGGUGGCUUGACAAUAUAUAUAUGCAAUUAUAUAUGCUGAAUAGCUCCUAUUGGGCAAAAGGGAAUCCGGUUCCUAUUCCGGAACCCGGCUGCGUAACCGCAUCUCAGCGGGCACUUGUUCGCGAGCGCUCGUCGGGGUAACCCAAACUGGCCUGGAGACGCCGGCGGGGGGUCUGGAAAGAGUUUUCUUUUCUUUAUAAGCGUUCGAGUACCCUGGAAUCCUAUAGCAGGGAGAUAGGGUUUGGAACGCGAAGAGCACCGCAGUUGCGGCGGUGUCCGGACCUUCCCCCCGGACCUUGAAAAUCCAGGUGAGGGCCACGCGGAAGUCGCGCCGG